ACCGUUACACAGCGCCGACACUGGAGACUCCUUCCGUAAGCACCGUAAACCGGAACGCGUUCAUAUAAACCUGUCGGAGCUGCUGCUCCAGAGACUUGAUCACCACCUUCUGACCAAUCAGGGUGCAGAAUUCGACGUGUCCGUGGUGUGGUGGUGGUUUACUGUCUGACGGUACGUUAUCGAUUUUCUUCCUGACGGAUAAACCCGCAGGUCGGAGUCUCGCAGGGUUAAUCCUUCCGAACGGAGGAAUCGAGAUACAGUAGAUGGUCGCGUGGAUGAAGUUACGGUGCUCCUACGGAGUUCCUGGAGUGUCGGGUGGCAGGCAGUCGCACGCCAGCUCGCUUUCAUUUUCCGUUCGGGGAAGAAGAGAAGAAGAAAGAGCUCUGUUUAAGGGUUUCUGCUCUGUCUAAGUUCUCCAGCAGUAAACGUUCCCAGAUGUGGCUUCAACUCUGCGUGAACUUUUCUCUCGAAUGAGGCCGAGCGCUCCGAUUCCUCCAACACCCAACACCACUCGUGUGUGUGUGUGUGUGUGUGUGUGUGUGUGUGUGUGUGUGUGAGAGAGUAAUUUCUCUCACCACUGCUGCAGGAGUUAGGAAGUGGAGAAGCUCCAGCGGAGCGGUUUUUGUCUCGUCCCUGCUAUCAUUCCGUAGUCUUUCCGACUUUUGUGUAGAAAUGAGAGGUUUGCUCUAGUGCGCUGUGGGAAGAUACGAGAUGGCGUGGAGUAGAGAACAUCUUUAGCACACAAAUCUUCAAAUCCAUAUCGUGACUGAAAAAACACAACGACAGAACGAUCGCGUCUGCGUCCUGAUCACGCCAAAUCUAGAUUUCUUCACACGACGUAGGAUUAAAAAAAAACAGGACGGAGCGGCGUGUCGGGAAAACGCCGCGGCGUGUCGACGGAAAUAAACGCUGGCGCGUGUUCGGUGAUCUGUAUUUCCUUUGUGUUCCGUAUGAACCUUAAUAACCUUCUGUCUCACUUCAGACACGGUUUCUCAUCACUCUAUGCGUAUUUUGCAUCGACGUGAACUCGGCAUGACCCGAUGUUUAGUAAACGUUCCUGACUUGUCCGCGAGGAUCGCUGUUACUAUGUUACGAGCGCUUUAUCCCAUUCCGACCAAUCGGAAUCCAGAACUCGGCAGCUCCGUGGCGUGGUGACGUAUUAACGAUCAGGUUAGAUUCUGAAGUCGCAGCACGAGGUGAUCUCUACAGUGGAAAAUUACAGCACCGUUUGAGACGAGGUGGAAAAUCACCUAAAAUGUCCACGUUGUGCGGCGGGUGGCUUUUCGCAGGCGGCGGAGUUUUUUCUAAAACCCCCCCGACAACCCUCCCCUAAACCAAAAUGGCGGCCGGCUGAGUUUUUGUCACGUAUUCAGCGCGUCGGAAUGGUCAGGCCUCAUUAGAGCUGGGAGAAAUGGUCUGUGGAGAAUGCACUCUCCUUUGACUUGACAUGCAGGUACAUGAUUAAAGAGAGAGACGGAGAACCGGGCAGAGUGAACGAGGGAUCCUCUGGAGCGCCCGGUUCCUCUGAGAGACUCGUCUGAAGCGCUGCGGUGGGUGGCACGCCGUCAUGCCUGAUCUUGCACGAUGUUGUACAAGUAUGCAAGACUAAACCCCGGUGAUAUCAGAGCUGUUGACGUGGAGGUUCGCGAAGCCACAGCUGUAACGACGUACGAGACCGGUCUCGCGUCUCACCCCGGGACCACACACGCGGCUAGGCUCAGCGUCGGCGUCCUGCAGACGUGCUAACCUUCGGAGCGCCGAGAUUCCAGUACGCCCGUACGAGAUCUCUCAGAAAUAUACCGAACCGAUCGACCGCCGCGUAAGUGCUUUGAACUCAUUAAUAUAAACCGACCCACUGGAAGCCACGCCCCCUUCCUAAUCUAACAAUUUAUUUACAAAUAUAUCUUCAUUUAAACGGACGGCUCGGAGGGAAGUAUUCUGAAAAGCGGGAGAUGAGAGUCCGGCGUCGGCGCGAACCCCUUCAAUACCGUUCAAAAAUCAUCUCGGGGAAAUUCCUCAAGAGCUCGCGCGAGGAAACGCCGAGAAGGCAUUUCUGCAAAUUCUAGGCGAAAAGGGCGUCGACUUCGAAGACGCUAAAACACCGGGCGAUUUAGAUUUAUUUUGGAUUUUUUUUAAUCACGACAUAAUUCCCAGAGUUCCGUUUGUGCUCCUCCAGAGUUUUGAUUUCGAAAUGAAGCUGCUCGAAUUACAAAAUGAGUUUAAUGUCCGUGAAACAUUUCAAUAGAAUAUGUACAAAAUUAGUAGCAUUAAAAAAAGAAAACAAACCUUUAUGAUUAAAAAUGGUAGAAACUUUUAGUCGGUGUGAGUAUAGGGUAAGAGUUCCCCUAGAGGAGCAAACCAAGGUACCUUAAAAUGCUUUAGGUGGAACCUUUACUGUACUAACAGUGGAGCUCCCGGUUGAAGUUUACGUCCCAGCUUCACCGAAGUGCCCGAGUCAGUGCCCGAGUCAGUGCCCGAGGCAGUGCCCGAGUCAGUGCCCGAGUCACUGCCCGAGGCAGUGCCCGAGGCAGUGCCCGAGUCAGUGCCCGAGGCAGUGCCCGAGUCACUGCCCGAGUCAGUGCCCGAGUCAGUGCCCGAGUCAGUGCCCGAGUCAGUGCCCGAGUCAGUGCCCGAGUCAGUGCCCGAGGUUCUUCACCCUGAUCUGCUCAGCUGUCCACUCUUAAAUUCAGAACCGUUGAGGGUUCUUCAGUUCCCUCUGAACACCCCCUUGAAAGUUCUACACAGAACCGUGCACCACAGUGUUCACUAAGAACCCGUAACUAUCGUAAAGAACCCGUUGUGCGUGUGGAAGCGUCCAGGCUCGGAGCACACGUCGGUAUUUUCUUCAUAUCUGUUCAGCAGCAGCUUGUGUUCAUGCAAACGAUGUGGUGUCUGGGAGGAAGUUAGCACGGAGAGCUUCCACUGCGGGGUGGAUUUGCAUGUGGAGGCGUGACCGGGAGCGUGGCGCUCGUCACCGGCCGCUCAGUUUCCUAAAACCUCCCCCGCUUUCAUUCCGUUCUCUUUUUCCAUCGCGUACGUUUUUAAAAUGUAUUCAUUUAAUAUGUUCGAUUCGUUUGAGUCGACGUCUCGGCGGUUUGAAACACGCCGCACCGUUCGCACGCGUGCGUUUGUCCGCGGCUCAGAGAUUCGAUGUGUACUUACUGAAGAAUCACCAGAACAUUAUGAUUGUAAUUAGCGAUCGGUUCGUAGCGGGUCAAUAUUUACCUUUUCAUUUAAGCUCGACGACGAAUUUCUGCACGGUUUCUACGCACCGCUUUCCCACACCGGAAACUCUGCUCUCCUCGAAUGUAAUUACGGCGUUUAAGGUCAAACAAAUGGCGGAGAGGGCGUAAAUAUUUUUUCUCAUUUGUUAUUUAUAAAAAUGUCGUGGCUGAGAAAAGGCAUGUAGAAAAGUAAAGUUUUACGGUAAGUGACACGGGAUAUUUAUUUUUCCGGAUGGAGAGACGAUCCGGUUUUCCGCCAGCAGCUCUGAUGGUAUAGAUGUAAUAGCUGGUGGUAGCUACAGUAAUGGAAUAACGUGGGACCAGCUAGCCCGUGAAGUGCGUCGGCGGACUGAACGUAUACGGCAUUAAUCUAACCGCGUCUGUGCUUCGACCCGACGUCAGACGGUGGUCUGUGAACGUUUCAGCCACAACCGAAAAACCUUUUAUUUCAUUCAUUAAUCAUUUCCUCAGAAUCUGGCGGCUAGCAUGUUUAUGUCCUCCGCUUCUGUAAGCGUCAGCUGACGUGUUUUGCAUGUCGUAUGAGCUUUGCGCAGGACUUUAUUUUGCUUUCCAGCGUCUUCUCAAACGAGAUGUUGACAUGGUUUAUGUACGCUGGUGAAUCCGAUCGGGGGGAAGUCGGACCAGCGUUAAGCAGAUCGUAUCUCCGCAGGGGCGCGAUUCGGUACGACGUAGCGCUACGUUUCAGUCAGAAUAUCUCGAAGGUCGAACCGGUCUAAAGCAGUAGACCGCUUCAGGGCAGGAG
ensembl:lncRNA